rnacentral:rRNA from 1 species
UGGUCUUAGAGGAUGAUCAACCACACUGGAACUGAAAUAAGGUCCAGGCUGACAAGUCGGCCAGCAGUGAGGAAUAUUGGACAAUGAACGAAAGUUUGAUCCAGCAACACUAACUGGGUGAUGACGGCUUAUUUAAGUUGUAAGAUCCUUUAAUUAAAGAAGAUAAUGACAAUAUUUAAUUGAAUUUAGUCCUGGCUAAUACUCGUGCCAGCAGCCGCGGUAAUACGGGAAGGGCAAGCGUUAUCCGGCAUGACUGGGCGUAAAGAGUCCGUAGACUGUAAAGUGAGUUUUUUGUCAAAUUAUAAGACCUAAUCUUAUACUAGCAAUUAAUACUAUUUUACUUUGAGCUUAAUGCAGAAAAGUAGAAUUUUAUACGACAGAGGUGAAAUUCGUAGAUAUAUAAAGGAAUACCGAUAGCGAAGGCAACUUUUUAGCAUAAACUGACGUUGUGGGACGAAAGCGUGGGUAGCAAACAGGAUUAGAGACCCUGGUAGUCCACGCUGUAAAUUCUGAGUGCUGUAAUUUAAUUGUAAUAUAUUUUUAAUAUUACUUAGAUUUUCAAGCUAACGCAAUAAGCACUCCGCCUGAGGAGUACGAUCGCAAGAUUGGAACUCAAAGGAAUUGACGGGGGUCUAACACUAGUGGUGGAGCAUGUGGUUUAAUGCGAUAAUCCGCGCAAAAUCUUACCAAUUCUUGACAUAGCUAAAUUUUAUACAAAUUAACGUGAAGUAGUUUUUUGUAUAUAUUUUUUUACAGGUGUUGCACGACUGUCGUCAGCUCGUGUCGUGAGAUGUUGUUAAGUC